rnacentral:lncRNA from 1 species
GAAAAACCAGAAUCAUCAAGUUCAUCAAAAAGAACAAGUUAUGAAGCAACUUCAAUAGUUAAUUUAAAUCAAUAUUUCAUAACAGGACCAAUAAAUGAAAAAGAAUAUUUAAUACUCUUAAACACAGGACAAGAAAAAGAUUAUAUAGCAAAAUAUCUAGUAAAAAGUGAAAAAAUAAAAUCUAAUAGUGAUAUAUGCCCAGAUCUACCAAGGAGUCUAAUAAACAUUAAAGAUACGGCA